rnacentral:tRNA from 1 species
UUUAAUGAGGUGUAUUUUGCAUUUUGCAUUUUGAUUGCAAAGGAGGUUAGUUAUCCGUUAAUU